rnacentral:lncRNA from 14 species
AACUGAGAUGUGUUUCAAUCAAAGACCACCUUCCAUGGCCUACUGGGUCUGAGGAGAAAGUCAAUUCUUUAUUUGCUACCACCUCUUGGCUCAGAGAAAAUAGGCCCAUAACAACAAUAAAAGCAGAACAGAAAAG